rnacentral:rRNA from 1 species
UACGUAGGGUGCAAGCGUUAAUCGGAAUUACUGGGCGUAAAGCGUGCGCAGGCGGUUUUGUAAGUCUGACGUGAAAUCCCCGGGCUCAACCUGGGAAUUGCGUUGGAGACUGCAAGGCUAGAAUCUGGCAGAGGGGGGUAGAAUUCCACGUGUGAGCAGUGAAAUGCGUAGAGAUGUGGAGGAACACCGAUGGCGAAGGCAGCCCCCUGGGUCAAGAUUGGACGCUCAUGCACGAAAGCGUGGGGAGCAAACAGG